rnacentral:misc_RNA from 1 species
GUGAAUCAUCAAAUUUUUGAACGCAAAUUGCACUCUCCGGCUUUCCGGGAGAGUAUGCCUGUUUGAGGGUCUGUUUAAAAAAUAAUCGAGGCUGCUGCUGUGGUGGCGCUUCGGAAUUGGGUCAUCUUCCACCUUUCGGGGUUGUAAGCGACCUAAAAUUUUUCUUCCGUUUUUUCCGACCGUUCCUAAGAUUUUUUCUUUUAGUU